rnacentral:rRNA from 1 species
GACGAACGCUGGCGGCGUGCCUAAUACAUGCAAGUCGAACGCUUUUUCUUUCACCGGAGCUUGCUCCACCGAAAGAAAAAGAGUGGCGAACGGGUGAGUAACACGUGGGUAACCUGCCCAUCAGAAGGGGAUAACACUUGGAAACAGGUGCUAAUACCGUAUAACACUAUUUUCCGCAUGGAAGAAAGUUGAAAGGCGCUUUUGCGUCACUGAUGGAUGGACCCGCGGUGCAUUAGCUAGUUGGUGAGGUAACGGCUCACCAAGGCAACGAUGCAUAGCCGACCUGAGAGGGUGAUCGGCCACACUGGGACUGAGACACGGCCCAGACUCCUACGGGAGGCAGCAGUAGGGAAUCUUCGGCAAUGGACGAAAGUCUGACCGAGCAACGCCGCGUGAGUGAAGAAGGUUUUCGGAUCGUAAAACUCUGUUGUUAGAGAAGAACAAGGAUGAGAGUAAAAUGUUCAUCCCCUUGACGGUAUCUAACCAGA